rnacentral:tRNA from 1 species
GGAGUUCAGUCUUCCCAGGCCCACCACACUCAUCGGGUAAGCAUUCGUCUUCUGGUUACGGGGCCAUAGCUCAGCUGGGAGAGCGCGUGCUUUGCAAGCAUGAGGUCGUCGGUUCGAUCCCGUCUGGCUCCACCAGAUGGUUUGAUCACCGACGCUGUGUUUGCAGCUAUUCAACCGUCGUCCGCGAAACAUCACUUCGCACCUACUAGUCUGGAUAGACAGUAGGUUGCGUGAUUUCUGACAUCGUAAAGAGGAGAUCGAUCCGAGUUGGAUCGGGCAGCAAGCAAUUGCUGCGCGAACCUUCAUUAUCUCCGGAUCAUUUCGGCGCUCGCGCGCCUUUCAAUGCGGCUCACAAGGCUGCGUCUGAGGGGAAUGCGGGUUGUAAAUGAUCCUUUUAGCGAAGCUUGACCGCCUCGCUAUCGGAACGAUCUUACGAAGCAAGCUGGUCUUUCUAAUCAUUGUCCGGCUGUACGUAGCGUUCAUCGAGGGCGCGUGCCGCAAGGCAAUCGUACAGACAACAUUCUGCCGAGUGUGUGGACAUUGAUAAUGAGAGCAAUCAAGUGCCUUAAGGGUGUUCGGUGGAUGCCUUGGCGCUGAGA